CCCGUACCUGGCCAGGCGGCCGGGUCAGGUCAUCAACAAUAGGAGACCAAGGUGGCAAUGUCGCAGUGCUCCACCCAGGUGCCGUGGCCUUGUUUUCAGGGCUGUGCGUACUUUCCCAAAGGAUGUUUGGACAAGGGACUUGCUUUUUAUCGUUUGCAGCUGUGUAAGUGAGGUUGCCGGGAGGUGACAGCUAGGGACGGAGGGGGCCGGGGGUUUUUUGGAAAGGACAGCGCUGCCGUGAAACGUGAAACCCAAGCUGUUGUUCAAGCUCAGGGGGAGGAAGGCAAGUGCAGAAAUUCUGGACUCGCCCCACGAUUGGGGGUCACCAUCAGGAUGCUGUGCAUAUGCACGGAAGGAGGGGAACGACAAGUCAGCCCUGGGGGACGGGGCCAACAGAAGCUGAGGGGCAUGGGCUCACUCCAGGGAGGAAACGCACUGCUGGCUCGCAGCUGGGUUGUCCUGGUGCUCUUGGGACCCUUGUCCCGCCCCUGGUGCUGUGGUGCCUGGCUGGUGACGGUGGCAGGCGUCUGGUCUGCAAGACCAGGAUGGAUUCAGGUGAAGAGCGGAGGGAGCACAGGGAGCGGUUUUCGGUGGCAACACACAGGACUGAGUUCUCCUAAGAAACAAGCGCCAAGGGACAGCCUUCCAGGGGCGUAAUUCCAUUCCUCUACCUGAAUAGUAAGUUCACAGAUACUCUCAUCUCUCCGAGAGAGAAGCCGUGGGUGGAACAUUCUUUGAAAUGUCAAAUCCGAAAUGACUCUGCAGGGCACAGGCUGGAGAGAGCUCUGUGUUCUCCAACAGCCAGCUGUUCUGGGUGCAAAGGGAUGUGCAAGCCCUUUCUUGUCACUAUUUAGGUGACAUUUUCAAGUUUUCAGAGUUGUGAGGUUGUCGGUGUGUCGGGGUUUUUAGAAGCUGGUUUGGUGUUUUUUUUUUUUCCCUAUCAAUAUCCCUCCUCGACUUCCGCUGGUCCCUGUCUCCAAGCUAUCACCAGGCACGUCCAUAAUUCAUCCCAUCUGGGAGGCUGGUCUCCAAACAUCCAGUAGUGAAAGCUGAUGUUGGGUUUGCCCAGCAUAUCUGCCCCAUUCUCGUGCCUUCUGGGAACCACUCUCCUCAACGUGGGAAUGACCUCCAAUCCCUCAGUCCAGGGGUGGGCAUGAGACCCCAGCAGGCCCAGGCCUAGGUCCCUUCCCCAGACAAACACAAACACUAAGAAAGAGGAGACUUCUCUCCUUCUGAAAUCACAAGCACCAAAAAUCCUGGAAUGCUGGGCUGCCAAGGGCCACGGUGUCCCUUUUGCAGAUACUCUGUUUGAACACUAAGCUAUUGCAGAGAAAGCAGUAGAGCCAAAAGACAGCAAGAAACAAAAUCUUGAUAUCUGGACCCUUGAUCCAG
rnacentral:lncRNA from 1 species